rnacentral:rRNA from 1 species
AUUGAACGCUGGCGGCAUGCUUUACACAUGCAAGUCGAACGGUAACAGGCCGCAAGGUGCUGACGAGUGGCGAACGGGUGAGUAAUGCAUCGGAACGUGCCCAGUCGUGGGGGAUAACGCAGCGAAAGCUGCGCUAAUACCGCAUACGAUCUGAGGAUGAAAGCGGGGGACCGUAAGGCCUCGCGCGAUCGGAGCGGCCGAUGUCAGAUUAGGUAGUUGGUGGGGUAAAGGCUCACCAAGCCGACGAUCUGUAGCUGGUCUGAGAGGACGACCAGCCACACUGGGACUGAGACACGGCCCAGACUCCUACGGGAGGCAGCAGUGGGGAAUUUUGGACAAUGGGGGCAACCCUGUUCCAGCCAUGCCGCGUGAGUGAAGAAGGCCUUCGGGUUGUAAAGCUCUUUCGGCCGGGAAAAAAUCGCAUGGAUUAAUACUCUGUGUGGAUGAUGGUACCGGAAUAAGAAGCACCGGCUAACUACGUGCCAGCCGCCGCCGUAAGAC